rnacentral:rRNA from 1 species
UUGAAGGUUGGGUAACACUAACUGGAGGACCGAACCGACUAAUGUUGAAAAAUUAGCGGAUGACUUGUGGCUGGGGGUGAAAGGCCAAUCAAACCGGGAGAUAGCUGGUUCUCCCCGAAAGCUAUUUAGGUAGCGCCUCGUGAAUUCAUCUCCGGGGGUAGAGCACUGUUUCGGCAAGGGGGUCAUCCCGACUUACCAACCCGAUGCAAACUGCGAAUACCGGAGAAUGUUAUCACGGGAGACACACGGCGGGUGCUAACGUCCGUCGUGAAGAGGGAAACAACCCAGACCGCCAGCUAAGGUCCCAAAGUCAUGGUUAAGUGGGAAACGAUGUGGGAAGGCCCAGACAGCCAGGAUGUUGGCUUAGAAGCAGCCAUCAUUUAAAGAAAGCGUAAUAGCUCACUGGUCGAGUCGGCCUGCGCGGAAGAUGUAACGGGGCUAAACCAUGCACCGAAGCUGCGGCAGCGACACUAUGUGUUGUUGGGUAGGGGAGCGUUCUGUAAGCCUGUGAAGGUGGCCUGUGAGGGUUGCUGGAGGUAUCAGAAGUGCGAAUGCUGACAUAAGUAACGAUAAAGCGGGUGAAAAGCCCGCUCGCCGGAAGACCAAGGGUUCCUGUCCAACGUUAAUCGGGGCAGGGUGAGUCGACCCCUAAGGCGAGGCCGAAAGGCGUAGUCGAUGGGAAACAGGUUAAUAUUCCUGUACUUGGUGUUACUGCGAAGGGGGGACGGAGAAGGCUAUGUUGGCCGGGCGACGGUUGUCCCGGUUUAAGCGUGUAGGCUGGUUUUCCAGGCAAAUCCGGAAAACCAAGGCUGA